rnacentral:rRNA from 1 species
UGGGGAAUAUUGGACAAUGGGCGAAAGCCUGAUCCAGCCAUGCCGCGUGUGUGAAGAAGGUCUUCGGAUUGUAAAGCACUUUAAGUUGGGAGGAAGGGCAGUAAGCGAAUACCUUGCUGUUUUGACGUUACCGACAGAAUAAGCACCGGCUAACUCUGUGCCAGCAGCCGCGGUAAUACAGAGGGUGCAAGCGUUAAUCGGAAUUACUGGGCGUAAAGCGCGCGUAGGUGGUUCGUUAAGUUGAAUGUGAAAGCCCCGGGCUCAACCUGGGAACUGCAUCCAAACCUGGCGAGCUAGAGUAGGGCAGAGUGUGGUGGAAUUUCCUGUGUAGCGGUGAAAUGCGUAGAUAUAGGAAGGAACACCAGUGGCGAAGGCGACCACCUGGGCUCAUACUGUCACUGAGGUGCGAAAGCGUGGGGAGCAAACAGG